rnacentral:ncRNA from 1 species
UUUCGAGCCAAAGCGCCUAAACCCCUGUCCUGAGGGCAUGGCGCGCGGCCGCGGGAAGCCUUUCCCGCCGGGGUGCGGACGGAAACGGACGUGCCUUCCAUUUUUGAAAAGGAGUUCGCAGA